CUGCCCGUCACCAUUGACCAUUCGCUAAUAUUGUCAUUUUUGUCAUUGUGGAAGUUUAGACAAAUUUUAAUAAAAACAAGAAUACUCUUUAUCACGGACGAAUAUUAAAGCCUUGAGAAAAUGGAUGCUGCCGAUGUUAUUCUAAAAAAUGAUAAGAUUAAACCUAGUGUAGAUUUAGAGGAAGAUCCUCUACUGCUAAGACCUCACACAUCAACUGUGAACAUAAUAAAUGAGUGCCAGAUGUUUAUAAAAGCAGAGGAUGGUGGUGGCGAUACGCACAUGAAUUUAACUGAUAAUAUGCCGCAAGAAAGCACUGAAAACCCAAAUUUGUAACAUCCACACCAGAUCAAAAGAAAGACAGUCCAUCAGACAAUCAGAUUGCCGAUUCAAACCCAGAAUGUGAUAUGGAAGAGAUUCCAGACUUGCCAGUAGAUGAGGGAAUGCCUAGUACAGUCACUGUUUUGGAAGCCCCUGAUGGUGGUAAAGUGUACUUAAUUGGUACAGCACAUUUUAGUCUGCAAUCUCAAGAAGAUGUAUCCAGGGUAAGAAUCUUUUGCUUUAAUGAAAUCACUAUGAGUUCCUUUAGCAAUUGGGUGAUCAAAUAAAUAUCUUAUUAAGAAAUCGGAAAGUCUA